ensembl:lncRNA
AUUAUUUACACUUAAACAAAUCAUACAUUAUUUUUAUCAUUGUGUGUUUAGAUGAUGAGGCCUGUACUUCAUUUAUGAGUAUGUGACUAGAGUAUGUGCACAUAAAAUAUUCACAAAAUAAAAGUUUAAUAGUAAAUUAAAUCACACAUAUACUUGAUCUGGAUGACAAUUAUUGAGAUCAGGCAUCGAAAAGGUGACACUUGGCUUCAUACAGUUAAUGUUGCACAUACGCAAGGCAAAUGCAAUUUGAUGGGUUGUUAUAGUGCACAUCAGAAAUACAGCAAUAAACAUAAAAUGAUGAUUAGUCACUACAGAGGUUAUAACAGACCAGAGCAAUAUUCAGUUUCAAGAGAAAUAAAAAGGAGAACAAGCCAGACCAUUAAAAAAUGUGUAUGGGUCUUAGGGAUGGGGGACAAGAACAUAUUGUUUUAGUAAAAGCAAAGAAAACAUGAAAUGCUUAAUAAGACAAGUAAACAUGGUAGGCAGUGACAGGAUGUGACAGUUCUGCAGUGGAAAAUGUGCUCUGUGGGUUCACUGGUCACUGCAGACAAAAGCACAAAACUGUAUUUGAAUACGUGACAUGACCUUCCUUUACGUGUUGAAUUUAGAUGACCUGUGCUGGCAUUCACACUUUGAAUAGUUGAUCUUCAUAUUCCUUUUUUAUUUUUUAUUUUUUUAUUUUUUUUUAGGCAGCAUUACUAAAAAAUUUCAGUCUCUACAGCACGUCUGCAAGCCUUCGAGAUCCUGAGCGGAGAGUAAAACAGUUUACACUCCUUCACAGCCCUUAAACUGAGUGUCCUGUUAUGGCCAGUUUUCAGACCAGGAUUCUUCGUCUGCAUCUCUGUGUUGUUAUUAUUCUCCUGACUCAUGCAGAUUAUUCCAAAUCUAAUCAAGAGCAAAGGAUUCGGCAGCACAUCAACAAAACAGUGUUUGUGGGGGAAACAGUUACACUUCACUGCAACAAAACCCAACUUGAUGAUGAUUUCACAUGGAAAAUGAACAGCUUCGUUAUUUUUAGGCAGGACUCUGAAAGAAACAGAACAAUGAGAAACUUCAGCUCCAACAGGAUUCACAUCGACCCCGCAGCGCCAAGAGAAUUAACAAUACAUCAAAUACAAGCGUCUGAUGCAGGAAACUACAGCUGUUACCCAGCAGCAAUAAGAUGGACAUUAACAAUAACAGAUCAGACCAGAAUCACCCAAACAAAUGCCGCUGAACAUCAUCAUUAUCAUCAUCAUCAUCACCAUCAGUAUCUGCAUUCACAGAGAGAAUGUUUUGAUUGUAUUUUGGUGGUGUUUAUACAUAUCCUUCUAAAAUGUCCAAGCAUCCAAACAUCACUACAUUUUUUAAAUAUUUAUACAAUGGUUCUUCCGUCAACUCCAGCCAACUUAUCAUUAUCAAAACAAACAGAUUUCUACUUUUUCAUAUUGUUAUGCUGGUCACAUUAAAACUGCCUUGGACACAUUUCCCCUGCCUUCAUCAAUUAUUUCUACUAUUUUCAAAUGUAUUCUCUGCAUUUAUUUUAUUGCUGUAUUCUUGUCCUGGUCCCAUGAUUUUUUUUAUAAUAAAAACUGUAUUUAUUAUUAUUAUUUAAAGAAA